ACGUUAGCUGCAGAAGAAGCACCGGCUAACUCCGUGCCAGCAGCCGCGGUAAUACGGAGGGUGCGAGCGUUAAUCGGAAUUACUGGGCGUAAAGCGCAUGCAGGUGGUUUGUUAAGUCAGAUGUGAAAGCCCCGGGGCUCAACCUCGGAAUUGCAUUUGAAACUGGCAAACUAGAGUACUGUAGAGGGGGUAGAAUUUCAGGUGUAGCGGUGAAAUGCGUAGAGAUCUGAAGGAAUACCGGUGGCGAAGGCGGCCCCCCUGGACAGAUACUGACACUCAGAUGCGAAAGCGUGGGGAGCAAACAGGAUUAGAUACCCUGGUAG
rnacentral:rRNA from 1 species